CCUGUGGACUGUUAUAUCAAAUGUUAGUAGGGUGUGCAAACACUACGAGGACAGACAGGGCGAAGCAGGAA
rnacentral:ncRNA from 1 species